CGCCUGGGGAGUACGGGUGAGGUAGCGGCUCACCAAGGCGACGACGGGUAGCCGGCCUGAGAGGGUGACCGGCCACACUGGGACUGAGACACGGCCCAGACUCCUACGGGAGGCAGCAGUGGGGAAUAUUGCACAAUGGGCGCAAGCCUGAUGCAGCAACGCCGCGUGGGGGACGACGGCCUUCGGGUUGUAAACCUCUUUUAGCAGGGAAGAAGCGCAAGUGACGGUACCUGCAGAAAAAGCACCGGCUAACUACGUGCCAGCAGCCGCGGUAAUACGUAGGGUGCAAGCGUUGUCCGGAAUUAUUGGGCGUAAAGAGCUCGUAGGCGGUUUGUCGCGUCUGCUGUGAAAAUCCGAGGCUCAACCUCGGACCUGCAGUGGGUACGGGCAAACUAGAGUGCGGUAGGGGAGAUUGGAAUUCCUGGUGUAGCGGUGGAAUGCGCAGAUAUCAGGAGGAACACCAAUGGCGAAGGCAGAUCUCUGGGCCGUAACUGACGCUGAGGAGCGAAAGCGUGGGGAGCGAACAGGAUUAGAUACCCUGGUAGUCCACGCCGUAAACGGUGGGAACUAGAUGUGGGGUCCGUUCCACGGAUUCCGUGCCGUAGCUAACGCAUUAAGUUCCCCGCCUGGGGAGUACGG
rnacentral:rRNA from 1 species